ensembl:snRNA U2 U2 spliceosomal RNA
AUUGUUUCCUGACCUUUUGGUUAAUAUCUAAUAUAGUUGUUUUUCUUAUCAGGUUAAUAUCUGCUCCAUCCUCUAUCUGAGAACAAUAUUAAGUGGGUUUUGGAAAUAGGAGAUGGAACAGGAGCUUGCUCCACACACUCCACAAAUCUACCUGAUAUUGCAGCACCACCUGGAAUGGUGGACCUUCC